UUUUCAACACAACUUGAUGACCGACGUUGUGACUAGUGUGGGAGUGUGUGCUCGUGUAAAUAUCAAUUUUUCUUACUCCUCGUGCCGGUCAACAGGAAAACAGCGAGUGUGUUAUCUCAUCGCGGGCGUGUGAUUGCGUGUGGCAAUACACACUUUGAAUUUUACACAAUUUCGAUGCUGCAACCUAAGUGUAUACAUGCGAAUAGGAUUGCUUAAAUGAAAAAGUAAAGUAGGAGUUGGGUGAUGUGUUUGUCCUCGUUUGUGUGCAAGGAAGCAAACAUGCUGAAGG